rnacentral:rRNA from 1 species
CCCGCCGGACCUGACUGCUAUCGGAUUGAUACUAAGCCAUGCGAGUCUUUGUAGUAAUACAAGGCAGACGGCUCAGUAACACGUAGUCAACCUACCCUAUGGACAAGAAUAAUCUCGGGAAACUGGGCAUAAUUCUUGAUAGAUCAUAAUGCCUGGAAUGGUUUAUGGUUAAAAUGAUUCGUCGCCAUAGGAUGGGACUGCGGCCUAUCAGCUUGUUGGUGAGGUAAUGGCCCACCAAGGCGAUUACAGGUACGGGCUCUGAGAGGAGAAGCCCGGAGAUGGGUACUGAGACAAGGACCCAGGCCCUAUGGGGCGCAGCAGGCGAGAAAACUUUGCAAUGUGCGAAAGCACGACAAGGUUAAUCCGAGUGAUUUCUGCUAAAGAAAUCUUUUGCCAGUCAUAAAACCACUGGUGAAUAAGGGGUGGGCAAGUUCUGGUGUCAGCCGCCGCGGUAAAACCAGCACCUCAAGUGGUCAGGAUGAUUAUUGGGCCUAAAGCAUCCGUAGCCUGCUCUGUAAGUUUUCGGUUAAAUCUGUAUGCUUAACAUACAGGCCGCCGGAAAUACUGCAGGGCUAGGGAGUGGGAGAGGUAGACGGUACUCGGGAGGAAGUGGUAAAAUGCUUUGAUCUUUCGAUGACCACCUGUGGCGAAGGCGGUCUACCAGAACACGUCCGACGGUGAGGGAUGAAAGCUGGGGGAGCAAACCGGAUUAGAUACCCGGGUAGUCCCAGCCGUAAACUAUGCAAACUCAGUGAUGCAUUGGCUUGUGGCCAAUGCAGUGUUGCAGGGAAGCCGUUAAGUUUGCCGCCUGGGAAGUACGUACGCAAGUAUGAAACUUAAAGAAUUGGCGGGGGA